rnacentral:rRNA from 1 species
CCUACGGGUGGCAGCAGUGAGGAAUAUUGGUCAAUGGGCGCGAGCCUGAACCAGCCAAGUCGCGUGAGGGAAGACGGUCCUAUGGAUUGUAAACCUCUUUUGUCAGGGAGCAAAAGACGCCACGCGUGGCGAUCAGAGCGUGCCCGAAGAACAAGCAUCGGCGAACUCCGUGCCAGCAGCCGCGGUAAUACGGGGGAUGCGGGCGUUGUACGGAUUGAUUGGGGUAAAAGGGUGAGCAGGCGGAAUAACAAGUCAGAUGUAAAAGUGAGAGGCUCAACCGCUUCGCGCCGUUGAAACUGGUGUUCUUGAGUGAGUGAGAAGUAUGCGGAAUGCGUGGUGUAGCGGUGAAAUGCAUAGAUAUCACGCAGAACUCCGAUUGCGAGGGCAGCAUACCGGCGCUCAACUGACGCUCAUGCACGAAAGUGUGGGUAUCGAACAGGAUUAGAUACCCCUGUAGUC